GUGUCAGCAGCCGCGGUAAGACGAACCGUGCAAACGUUGUUCGGAUUCACUGGGCUUAAAGGGCGCGUAGGCGGGCGGUCAAGUCAGGGGUGAAAUCUUUCGGCUCAACCGGAAAAGUGCCUUUGAUACUGGCCGUCUCGAGGGAGGUAGGGGCAUGCGGAACUUCCGGUGGAGCGGUGAAAUGCGUAGAUAUCGGAAGGAACGCCGGUGGCGAAAGCGGCGUGCUGGACCUCUUCUGACGCUGAGGCGCGAAAGCCAGGGGAGCAAACGGGAUUAGAUACCCCUGUAGUCC
rnacentral:rRNA from 1 species